rnacentral:rRNA from 1 species
AUUGAACGCUGGCGGCAUGCUUUACACAUGCAAGUCGAACGGUAACAGGGAGCUUGCUCCGCUGACGAGUGGCGAACGGGUGAGUAAUGCGUCGGAACGUGCCGAGUAGUGGGGGAUAACGCAGCGAAAGUUGUGCUAAUACCGCAUACGUACUGAGGUAGAAGGUGGGGGACCUUCGGGCCUCACGUUAUCCGAGCGGCCGACGUCUGAUUAGCUAGUAGGUGAGGUAAAGGCUCACCUAGGCGACGAUCAGUAGCGGGGCUGAAAGGAUGAUCCGCCACACUGGGACUGAGACACGGCCCAGACUCCUACGGGAGGCAGCAGUGGGGAAUUUUGGACAAUGGGCGAAAGCCUGAUCCAGCCAUGCCGCGUGUCUGAAGAAGGCCUUCGGGUUGUAAAGGACUUUUGUCGGGGAGGAAAUCCCCAGCGCUAAUACCGCUGGGGGAUGACAGUACCUGAAGAAUAAGCACCGGCUAACUACGUGCCAGCCGCCGCGGUAAGAC